rnacentral:lncRNA from 1 species
GAAACCUGGCUCGAGACUUUCGAAAGAAUCUCAGCCUUCAACAACUGGACCGCUGAUGAUAAGCUACGCCACGUGUACUUCUUCUUGGAAGAUGCUCUGAGGAAAUGGUUCGUGGAUAGGGAGUCCACCCUUACAACGUGGGACCUGUUCCGCAGUAACUUCCUGAGGACCUUCACGAGCGUUCUCCCAAAAGCCAG